rnacentral:ncRNA from 2 species
AACGCACCUUGCACUCCUUGGGUAUUCCGAGGAGUAUGCCUGUUUGAGUGUCAUUAUAUUCUCAAAAACCUAGGUGUUCUCUGAAUGACUAGGCUUUUUGGAUGUGAGGGAUUGCUGGCUUUCUAUCGAGUCCGGCUCCCUUCAAAUGUAUUAGUGGUUGCUUCAUUCACUAGAGUGUGAUAGUAUAUCUACGCUUGUUACAGUGAACUUGAAUAUAAAUCAUCUGCUUUCCAACUGUCUUGAAACAUAACAGGACAUAUUUUGACUAUUUGACCUCAAAUCAGGUAGGACUACCCGCUGAACUUAA